rnacentral:lncRNA from 1 species
CUGAUGUGAAAUAAGAGCUCCCUUGUUUCUAAAAUCCUUUCCACACUGGUUACAUUCAUAAUGUUUCUCUCCAGUGUGGAUUCUCUGAUGUACAGUAAGAGCUCCCUUUUCUCUAAAAGCCUUUCCACACUGGUUACAUUCAUAAGGUUUCUCUCCAGUGUGGAUUCUCUGAUGUACAGUAAGAGCUCCCUUUUCUCUAAAAGCCUUUCCACACUGGUUACAUUCAUAAGGUUUCUCUCCAGUGUGGAUUCUCUGAUGUACAAUAA